CACGUAGGGGCCAAGCGUUAAUCGGAAUUACUGGGCGUAAAGCGUGCGCAGGCGGUUUGUUAAGUCUGUUGUGAAAUCCCCGAGCUCAACUUGGGAAUUGCAAUGGAUACUGGCAGGCUGGAGUAUGGUAGAGGAAGGUGGAAUUCCCGGUGUAGCAGUGAAAUGCGUAGAGAUGUGGAGGAAUACCGAUGGCGAAGGCAGCCCCCUGGGAUGAUACUGACGCUCAUGCACGAAAGCGUGGGGAGCAAACAGG
rnacentral:rRNA from 1 species